rnacentral:rRNA from 1 species
GAUGAACGCUGGCGGCGUGCCUAAUACAUGCAAGUCGAGCGAACAGACGAGGAGCUUGCUCCUCUGACGUUAGCGGCGGACGGGUGAGUAACACGUGGAUAACCUACCUAUAAGCCUGGGAUAACUUCGGGAAACCGGAGCUAAUACCGGAUAAUAUAUUGAACCGCAUGGUUCAAUAGUGAAAGACGGUUUUGCUUUCACUUAUAAAUGGCUCCGGUCCUCAUUAGCUAGUUGGUAGGGUAACGGCUUACCAAGGCAACGUUCCGUAGCCGACCUGAGAGGGUGAUCGGCCACUCUGGAACUGAGACACGGUCCAGACUCCUACGGGAGGCAGCAGUAGGGAAUCUUCCGCAAUGGGCGAAAGCCUGACGGAGCAACGCCGCGUGAGUGAUGAAGGUCUUCGGAUCGUAAAACUCUGUUAUUAGGAAAGAACAAAUGUGUAAGUAACUAUGCACGUCUUGACGGUACCUAAUCAGAAAGCCACGGCUAACUACGUG